GCACGCUCUGUCCGAAGGCCCAAUAUCGUUUUUUUGGGUUCAAAUUUGUGAUCAGAAAACAUGUAUAGAAAUCAGAUCAAGUGCGCAGAGCACUGUUCACGCAUCCAUAGGGCCUCAGGACCAAAAUAACAUCACAGAAAAGCUCGAAUAAUCAGAUCCAUGCUUCAAAACCCUCCAAAUCUCGAUUCCCAUUACAUAUUAUUCAUUUCUUACAAGCAUACAUCACGUGAAGUGGGGAUCGAAUAAAAAAAGGGAGAAAAUCAUGACAGAGAUGGCCAUGCAGCCAAGUGCAUGCAGAAAUGUCCAUGCGGCAAGUAGAAACGAAUAAAAAAGACAGAAAGCAAACAGAGAGUGGGCGGCUGUGUGGCUCUGUGCAGGGCGCAGUCGGCCAGAGCCAGCCGCUGGUGCUUCCUGGCGGCCGAACGAAAGUGAGCGGCAGGAACAAAAAAAAAGGGAGAGGGAGGUGCGGUCGGCAGUGCCACAUCUCCCAGGCGGCUGAGAGAGAAGGAAGCCGCCGGCCAGAGGUUUC
rnacentral:lncRNA from 1 species